CACGGGCGGCAGCAGUGGGGAAUAUUGGACAAUGGGCGAAAGCCUGAUCCAGCCAUGCCGCGUGUGUGAAGAAGGCCUUCGGGUUGUAAAGCACUUUCAGUGGGGAAGAAAGCCUUGGGGCUAAUACCCUCGAGGAAGGACAUCACCCACAGAAGAAGCACCGGCUAACUCCGUGCCAGCAGCCGCGGUAAUACGGAGGGUGCGAGCGUUAAUCGGAAUUACUGGGCGUAAAGCGCGCGUAGGCGGUCUGAUAAGCCGGUUGUGAAAGCCCCGGGCUCAACCUGGGAACGGCAUCCGGAACUGUCAGGCUAGAGUGCAGGAGAGGAAGGUAGAAUUCCCGGUGUAGCGGUGAAAUGCGUAGAGAUCGGGAGGAAUACCAGUGGCGAAGGCGGCCUUCUGGACUGACACUGACGCUGAGGUGCGAAAGCGUGGGUAGCAAACAGGAUUAGAUACCCCGGUAGUC
rnacentral:rRNA from 1 species